rnacentral:rRNA from 1 species
GACGAACGCUGGCGGCGUGCUUAACACAUGCAAGUCGAACGGAAAGGCCUGCUUUCCCCUGUGGAUUGCGGGUACUCGAGUGGCGAACGGGUGAGUAACACGUGAGUGAUCUGCCCCCAACUUGGGUAUAAGCCUGGGAAACUGGGUCUAAUUCCCGAUAGGACUGCAGGGUGGUGCCUGUGGUGGAAAACGAUUUUCUAGUGGUUGGGGAUGAGCUCGCGGCCUAUCAGCUUGUUGGUGGGGUAAUGGCCUACCAAGGCGGCGACGGGUAGCCGGCCUGAGAGGGUGGACGGCCACAUUGGGACUGAGAUACGGCCCAGACUCCUACGGGAGGCAGCAGUGGGGAAUAUUGCACAAUGGGCGGAAGCCUGAUGCAGCGACGCCGCGUGGGGGAUGACGGCCUUCGGGUUGUAAACUCCUUUCGACCGCGAGGAAGCCACCUGGUUGGAAGGGUGGUGACGGUAGUGGCAGAAGAAGCACCGGCUAACUACGUG